AUGCAGUUCUGGAGCUUGAAGGGGGCAGACGACGUGUUCGGCGACUUCGGCCGCAUCGACCGGCUCGAUAGCCGCACGUAUGGGCGUGGUCACACCAAGACGUUCGCGUGCUGGCUGUGGUGCUGGGAUGUGGCGCACAUCCCGACCAAGCGGGCUCUGUGGGUGCUCAAGCGAGGUGCUGGUCGCGUCGACGAGAUCAUCGGCUUCUCCCCGCCGGAUCGCAACGUCCCUCCCCCGCCGGGCGUCCACCGCUACGACCUGCUGAUCCACGUGGACCGCGUGGAGGACUGGAAC
rnacentral:rRNA from 1 species